UACGGAGGGUGCAAGCGUUAUCCGGAUUCACUGGGUUUAAAGGGUGCGUAGGCGGGUAGGUAAGUCAGUGGUGAAAUCCUUGAGCUUAACUCGAGAACUGCCAUUGAUACUAUUUAUCUUGAAUAUUGUGGAGGUAAGCGGAAUAUGUCAUGUAGCGGUGAAAUGCUUAGAUAUGACAUAGAACACCCAUUGCGAAGGCAGCUUACUACGCAUAUAUUGACGCUGAUGCACGAAAGCGUGGGGAUCAAACAGG
rnacentral:rRNA from 1 species